UACGGAGGGAGCUAGCGUUGUUCGGAAUUACUGGGCGUAAAGGGCCAGUAGGCGGCCAACUAAGUCGGAUGUGAAAUCCCCAGGCUUAACCUGGGAACUGCAUCCGAUACUGGAUGGCUUGAAUUCGGGAGAGGGAUGCAGAAUUCCAGGUGUAGCGGUGAAAUGCGUAGAUAUCUGGAGGAAUACCGGUGGCGAAGGCGGCAUCCUGGACCGACAUUGACGCUGAACGGCGAAAGCUAGGGGAGCAAACGGG
rnacentral:rRNA from 1 species